rnacentral:rRNA from 1 species
AAUAUUGGACAAUGGGCGAAAGCCUGAUCCAGCCAUGCCGCGUGUGUGAAGAAGGUCUUCGGAUUGUAAAGCACUUUAUGUUGGGAGGAAGGGCAGUAAGCGAAUACCUUGCUUUUUUUACGUUACCGACAGAAUAAGUACCGGCUCACUUUUUGCCAGCAGCCGCGGUAAUACAGCGGGUGCAAGCGUUAACCGGAAUUACUGGGCGUAAAGCGCGCGUAGGUGGUUCGUUAAGUUGGAUGUGAAAUCCCCGGGCUCAACCUGGGAACUGCAUCCAAAACUGGCGGGCUAGAGUAGGGCAGAGGGUGGUGGAAUUUCCUGUGUAGCGGUGAAAUGCGUAGAUAUAGGAAGGAACACCAGUGGCGAAGGCGACCACCUGGGCUCAUACUGACACUGAGGUGAGAAAGCGUGGGGAGCAAAC